rnacentral:rRNA from 1 species
GAUGAACGCUGGCGGCGUGCUUAACACAUGCAAGUCGAACGGAAAGGCCCAAGCUUGCUUGGGUACUCGAGUGGCGAACGGGUGAGUAACACGUGGGUGAUCUGCCCUGCACUUCGGGAUAAGCCUGGGAAACUGGGUCUAAUACCGGAUAGGACCACAUUUUGGAUGGUGUGGUGGAAAGUUUUUCGGUGUGGGAUGAGCUCGCGGCCUAUCAGCUUGUUGGUGGGGUAAUGGCCUACCAAGGCGUCGACGGGUAGCCGGCCUGAGAGGGUGUACGGCCACAUUGGGAAUGAGGUGCGGCCCAGACUCCUACGGGAGGCAGCAGUGGGGAAUAUUGCACAAUGGGCGCAAGCCUGAUGCAGCGACGCCGCGUGGGGGAUGACGGCCUUCGGGUGGUAAACUCCUUUCGCUAGGGACGAAGCGUUAUGUGACGGUACCUGGAGAAGAAGCACCGGCUAACUACGUG